rnacentral:rRNA from 1 species
GAAAGAGAGUUAACAGUACGUGAAAUGUUGAAAGGGAAGCGCUUGCAAUCAGACUUGCAUGCAGUUGAUCAUCCGGUGUUCUCACCGGUGCACUCAGCUGCAUUCAGGCCAGCAUCAGUUUCGGUGGUUGGAUAAAGGCUCUGGGAACGUAGCUUCUUUCGGGGAGUGUUAUAGCCCAGGGUGCAAUGCAGCCUACCGGGACUGAGGACCGCGCUUCGGCUAGGAUGCUGGCGUAAUGGUUGUAAGCGACCCGUCUUGAAACACGGACCAAGGAGUCUAACAUUUAUGCGAGUGUUUGGGUGUCAAACCCAUACGCGUAAUGAAAGUGAACGGAGGUGAGAACCCUUAAGGGUGCAUCAUCGACCGAUCCUGAUGUCUUCGGAUGGAUUUGAGUAAGAGCAUAACUGUUGGGACCCGAAAGAUGGUGAACUAUGCGUGGAUAGGGUGAAGCCAGAGGAAACUCUGGUGGAGGCUCGCAGCGGUUCUGACGUGCAAAUCGAUCGUCAAAUCUGCGUAUAGGGGCGAAAGACUAAUCGAACCAUCUGAACCUACUGCUGGAUGGAACAUCUAGGUGCUGGAAGUACCUACGUAGUCUCUGCGGAGGCAACAUUACCACUGUGCAGGCGUGUCAUCUGGCUACCUGCAGCGGGGCAACCCGUCCUCAGACUAAACGGUGAUGGCCCUAUCUCUAGGGUUCUGAUAUAGCCGAUUCCUGCCUCUAGCCGGGCAGUCUA